UUUUAAACUUUACAAUUCUUGAAAUUUAAGUUUGUGUUACUAUUCAUUUCAUUGGUCAACUAAAAUGUUGACUUUUGCAUAGACAAUAGGUACAUUGGUUCUAAUACUCUCAAUAUACCACAUUUUGCAUUCUAAAGUUGUUGAUAUUGGUUGACAAUACCAUUUCUAAGCUUAGUGUUAAUUAUUCACAAUUUUUAGAUUUCAAGCCUUAUGUUUGCUAUUCCAUUGAUCAUUUAUACAGUAGGAAUUUGGCUGUCUACAUAA
rnacentral:misc_RNA from 1 species